rnacentral:rRNA from 1 species
GGAAAAGAAACCAACAGGGAUUGCCCUAGUAACGGCGAGUGAAGCGGCAACAGCUCAAAUUUGAAAUCUGGCUCUUUCAGAGUCCGAGUUGUAAUUUGCAGAGGGCGCUUUGGCUUUGGCAGCGGUCCAAGUUCCUUGGAACAGGACGUCACAGAGGGUGAGAAUCCCGUACGUGGUCGCUAGCUAUUGCCGUGUAAAGCCCCUUCGACGAGUCGAGUUGUUUGGGAAUGCAGCUCUAAAUGGGAGGUAAAUUUCUUCUAAAGCUAAAUAUUGGCCAGAGACCGAUAGCGCACAAGUAGAGUGAUCGAAAGAUGAAAAGCACUUUGGAAAGAGAGUCAAACAGCACGUGAAAUUGUUGAAAGGGAAGCGCUUGCAGCCAGACAUGCUUGCAGUUGCUCAUCCGGGCUUUUGCCCGGUGCACUCUUCUGUAGGCAGGCCAGCAUCAGUUUGGGCGGUGGGAUAAAGGUCUCUGUCACGUACCUCUCUUCGGGGAGGCCUUAUAGGGGAGACGACAUACCACCAGCCUAGACUGAGGUCCGCGCAUCUGCUAGGAUGCUGGCGUAAUGGCUGUAAGCGGCCCGUCUUGAAACACGGACCAAGGAGUCUAACAUCUAUGCGAGUGUUUGGGUGUCAAGCCCGAGCGCGUAAUGAAAGUGAACGGAGGUGGGAACCCGCAAGGGUGCACCAUCGACCGAUCCUGAAGUUUACGGAAGGAUUUGAGUAAGAGCAUGGCUGUUGGGACCCGAAAGAUGGUGAACUAUGCUUGAAUAGGGUGAAGCCAGAGGAAACUCUGGUGGAGGCUCGCAGCGGUUCUGACGUGCAAAUCGAUCGUCAAAUUUGGGCAUAGGGGCGAAAGACUAAUCGAACUAUCUAGUAGCUGG